UUGCCAUAUGCUUGUCUGAAAGACUAAGCCAUGCAUGUGUAAGUAUAUCUUGAAAAAGUGAAACCGCGAAUGGCUCAUUAAAUCAGUUACUAUCUAAAGGCUGAGUGACAUUCUACAAGAAUAGCUGCGCUAACCGCGCUGUUAAUGCUUGCAGAUUGCUUGGGAGACUGAGAACUUUUACGAGAUAUCCACCGGGGAGCUCUGAAACACCGAGACCCAGGCGAUGAUGAAUCCGUAGUCUUAAACUGAAAGAUCACAAAGGCCGUGAAGGCUGGUGACGUAGUCUCCGAAUUUCUGAGCUAUCAACCUAUGACGGUAGUGUAACGGACUACCGUGGUUGUGACGGCUAACGGGGAAUCAGGGUUCGAUUCCGGAGAAGGAGCCUGAGAAACGGCUACUACAUCCAAGGAAGGCAGCAGGCACGCAAAUUACCCAAUCCCGGAACGGGGAGGUAGUGACGAGAAAUAAUCAUUUAAGCCUUAAUGGUUUAUAAUGAGAAUGGAAUGGAUGCAAAAGCUCCAUUGAUGACCGAGUAGAGGGCAAGUCUGGUGCCAGCAGCCGCGGUAAUACCAGCCUCUACAAGCGUAUGCAUGAGUUGCUGCGUUUAAAAAGCUCAUAGUUGGAUCUGUUUGGGUAUUUGGAUACAUCCGCUAUACACAUUGCGCGUAUAGAGGCCUCACGCCCAUCCUUCGCAUCGAUGAUAUUAGUUGCACUUUGUUGUGACGACUAGUGGAAACGGUGUUUUCACUUUGAGUAAAUUAGAGUGUUCAAAGCAACCUUUGGGAUUGCAUAAUAAAGCAUGGAAUAAUGGAGAAUGACCUGAGUCAACGUUUUGAAGCCGGUGGCUGUUGCUCGGUGAUGAUUGAAAGGAACAGGCGGGGGCAUUUGUAUUGCUACGUUAGAGGUGAAAUUCUUGGAUCGUGGCAAGACAAACUACUGCGAAAGCAUUUGCCAAGAAUGUUUUCAUUAAUCAAGAACGAAAGUUAGAGUAUUAAAGAGGAUUAGAUACCCUCGUAAUUCUAACCAUAAACUUUACCAACUUACGAUUUGUCCCUGUCCCUCUCGACUGGGCAAGAAUUUAACCGGGAAACCAAAGUUUAUUGGUUCCGGGGGAAGUAUGGUUGCAAAAUCGAAACUUAAAGGAAUUGACGGAAGGGCACCACCAGGAGUGGAGCCUGCGGCUUAAUUUGACUCAACACGGGGAAACUCACCAGGUCCAGACAUCUUAAGGAUUGACAGAUAGUAUACCUCUCAUAAUCAGAUGGGCGGUGGUGCAUGGCCGUUCUUAGUUAGUGGAGUGAUCUGUCUGGUUAAUUCCGAUAACGAACGAGAUCUUGGCCAAUUAAAUAGAAAGCAGUACCGAGGUAUUGCAAAAGCUUCUUAGAGGCACUGUUCCGAAUUUAAAUACGGAAAGCGAAGUGAGGCUAUAACAGGUCUGUGAUGCCCUUAGAUGUUCUGGACUGCACGCGCGCUACACUGUACUCUACAGAGUGUGAAAAACCUAAUCUAGAGAGGAUUGGGAAAUCACAGAACGGAGAAAUUUUGAGGGGAUCGUGCAUUGUAACUUUUGCACGUGAACCCGGAAUUCCUCGUAAAUGGAAGUCAACAACUUCUAUUGAUUACGUCCCUGCCCUUUGUACACACCGCCCGUCGCUACUACUGAUUGGAUGGCAGAGUAAGAGGCUCUGAAAAUCCCUGCUUGAUUAUUGCUAUUGUGAUAAUUGGUUUGAUGGACCGUCGAGUCCCAAGCCCCUCUGUCUAGAGGAAGUAAAAGUCGUAACAAGGUUUCCGUAGGGGAACCUGCGGAAG
rnacentral:rRNA from 1 species